UUCGGGUUGUAAACUGCCUUUGUCUGUGACGAUUAUGACGGUAGCAGACGAAUAAGCUUCGGCUAACUCCGUGCCAGCAGCCGCGGUCAUACGGAGGAAGCAAGCGUUAUCCGGAAUCACUGGGCGUAAAGAGUUGCGUAGGUGGUUCUGUAAGUCGGUUCUUAAAGACCGGGGCUCAACCUCGGGAAUGGAACCGAUACUGUAGAACUAGAGCACGAGAGAGGUGGCUGGAAUUCCUAGUGUAGGAGUGAAAUCCGUAGAUAUUAGGAGGAACACCAAUGGCGUAGGCAGGCCACUGGCUCGUUGCUGACACUAAGGCACGAAAGCGUGGGGAGCGAACGGGAUUAGAUACCCCGGUAGUCCACGCCGUAAACGAUGGAUGCUAGCUGUGGGGGGUAUCGACCCCCUCCGUAGCGAAGCUAACGCGUUAAGCAUCCCGCCUGAGUAGUACGAGCGCAAGCUUAAAACUCAAAGGAAUUGACGGGGACCCGCACAAGCGGUGGAGCGUGUUGUUUAAUUCGAUGGUAAGCGAAGAACCUUACCAGGGCUUGACAUCCUUGGAAGGUCUCCGAAAGGAGACUGUGCCUUUGGAACCAAGUGACAGGUGAUGCAUGGCCGUCGUCAGCUCGUGUCGUGAGAUGUUGGGUUAAGUCCCGCAACGAGCGCAACCCUUAUGAAUAGUUGGAUUUUUCUAUUCAG
rnacentral:rRNA from 1 species